rnacentral:lncRNA from 1 species
UUGGACGCUUUGAAGUGCCUGAGUUACAACUCCUUCUGUGUCCUUCCUCCAUGGUCGAAUUUACUAAUAACAACUUAAACUACAACUCAAAUAACAAAAAAAACUAAUACAGUCAUGAAAUAAAUUAUCCUUACAUGUGCAAUAACUUAUUUUCAUUUUAAUGACAGGUUGUGACCUUCAACUAUGGUUGUAAAACACAUAAUCCAAUUGACAAGGUACGGUUCUACACCAAGGAUAACCCCGAUAAGGGAAUAAAACUUCCAAAGGAUGAGGUUUCAACGAUGUUACCUGAGAAAUUUCAAGAAAAGCAGAUCCGUGUCUACUACAAGGGGAUCGAUGAAAAUGAAAAAAUCCAAAACGCCAAAAGGUGCUUCAAGGAAUGGAAGGAACUUGAACGCGAAAAGCAGGUAUGUGAAUCCACCCAACAGAGGAAAAGUAUAGCUUGGAAAAUAUAUGACAAAUUACCCCCGGGAGGGAGAGCCUGGAUAUGUAGGCCUGUGAAGUCGUUACAAAUGGACAAUCAAUCUGUGACAUUAAGGACGAAAAACUCUUACAUUUUAUAAAUAAUAUGGCUUCUUUGUAUACUCUUUAUGCACAUGCGUUUUAUGUGUAGAUAAAAAAUCCCCCAAUUUCCCUUCCAAGAAAAUUUUGAUUAUGAAUUCUCCUUCCAAGAAAGUUUGGAUUACACCUAUUUAAAAAAAACGUCAGCGGAUGUAAACAAUAAUUAUCUGAAUCUCAAGCCACCAUGUACUUUUAUUAGUUCUGCAGUAUGGUCUCUUGCUGGUCACUAUAUUUCUGUACCGGGUACUGGACACUUCACUGUGGAUUUUAUAGUGGGAUACUAGAUGGGAAAGCCUAAGCGCUAUACGUUUCUUGAAAGUCUGAUCCAAGACUGUGAAUUAAAUUAUAGACAGGUUGGAUGGCUGUUAUCACAGGCUAUAAUACAAAGCUGAGUUAACAAUUAGAGGUAAUGGAGAUUAAAUUAACUUUGAUAGGUCAAACCAAAACCUAUUAGAGUAAGUUAUGGUAAAACAGUUGAUAAAACCGUUCUUUGCAGGAUAACGAAAGGAAAGCCAACCCGGAGACACCAAUGAAGAAGGAAAAACCUCGUGAUCGUGAUGCGCCAAGUCAUGACGCAAAAAGGAAUUUAGACUUUGACAACAAAGACGAAGGAACAACCUCGGGAUCCGCCUCAAAAUAAAGCACAAAGGAGAUUAGAGUUUCCUGACCAAACUGACGUUUUCAUCCUAUGUAACCAAAUACCGGGGUUGAUGUUGUGUUUUUGUUUAUGGUUUAGAAUAUAUGGUUGUACAGAGACAUUUCUUCGGGUGAAUGUAUCAUCAACAUAGCGAAUGUAACGUUUAUUACGAUGUACAUGUAAGCCAUCACUCAAUAAUAGUAUAUAUCCUCUGUAUGUAGGGUUUUUUCUGUUGGUUUCUUUUUGGUCACAAUUUCAUCGCUAAUUGACACCUGGGACUAAAUCGAAGGGAAUUAAUCAAGCCACAGUUGCCUCGGCUGCCUUGAGGCAGUAUGUAUACUAUUUGGAUAUUAAGUUAAUGUUGUCAGAAUAAGUAAUUCAGACAUUGAGGGGUUCCCAGCCCUCUCCUCACUUUGUCAAUGAAUCACUUUCUUGAAAGCAUUCACGGUGUAAUCAUAGAGUCACCUCCAUGCAUAGUAUAACUGUCAGCAAAGGUAUACGAACGGUGCCAGUGAUGACUGCCAUGUUCCGAAGGUCAAUUAUGAAAAGUUAUCAUGUGGACAAAUACUCAGCGUUUCAUUCAUUGCUAACGAAUCUACAUUCAUUUGCCAUUGGUUAGGUCUAUAUUUUAUUUGGUACAAAAACGUCGUUGUGGUUUUCAAACAAGAAAGACAUGGCCUUCUCACUAUAACUCCAACUUAAGACGGCACAUCGACUUAAUUUCACAGUUGAGCAUUUUGUUUGUCCAUUCUUCUUUCAUGUCGGUACCGUAAUGAGAUAAUGAGGAACUGUCUCUGUCAGACAGUCAAAUGGUGUACUGAGGUUUGGUUCAUGAGGAGAAAAGUAGCUUAGCGACACAGAUUUUGGUUUUCUAGACAUGUUUUAUUAUGUAUAUCUAAGCACACACUACCGAUUAGAAGAAAGUUUAGUAAAUGUUUCGCUACUAUCUUGAAACUUUAUAUCUGUCUUAUCCGAUCUCGACUGGAUUACUCUUGUAUAGCCUGGGAUGGGCUCAAUCAUUCUUCAGUUGUAGAAUGCUUUCAAAACCAGAGUGUCAAAUUUAUUUGUAAAGACUGGCAUACUAACUAUAAUACCGACAGAUUAAUCAUUUAAGCUGGACUGGUCUCUGAACUACAAGAAUCUUUUCCGUUUGGUUUUGUGUUUUAAAAUUUUGAAUGGCCUUACGGACAUUAAUGCCCUAUACAAGUUUCAACCGGCCUUCAGAAUAGGGCAAAACGAUAACAGUCUUAAACUACACAUUAAUUUUGCCCGUACUAACUAUUGUAAAUAUUCAUUUUUUUCGUCAGUACUGCUAAUGAGUGUUAUAGUCCACCUGAGCAUGUUAUCCAGUCUACAUCUUCAAACAUGUUCAAAAGCUCUCUCCUUGAAUUAUUGACUUGGUGAUUUUUCAUUUGUUUUGAUUUUGCUUUCUACCAUAAAAUCUUAUAGUUAUUUGAUAUUUUUUUCUUUUUCUUAUACAAACUUCUCAUAUUUUGUACAGUUUUCCUUGAAUGUGGCAUAUCUUAAAUAAUCUUCUUCAUUUUUACUAACUACUGGUUUUACUGUGUUCGUUUGUCGUUUUAACUUUUGAAUUGAACGCAUUUUUAUAUUAAAAUUUUGUUUCAUUUCUUUCGUCUGUUCAUGUUAUCCUUGUAUAUGAUUCUUUUUUCACAUAUAUUUUAACAUUUACUCGUUCUGUUUAUUUUUUCGGGGAGUGGUUUAAGAUGGUCUGUACGGUCUCUGUCACGACCCCUGACAUUGUCAGAAAUAAAUAAUGAUAAUUAUGGAGGACGAAAAGUGGUCAUCUGCUUUUCUGCUUUCGAGCAGACAGAAAUAUGAAUCGAACAUUUUGACGACAACCGUGAAUUCAACUUUUCUGCUUUUGUGGUACCGGAAAAGCAUAUUUUACACAGGUGGCCGAAAAGUGGCCAUAAAUAAUAGUAGUAAUAAUGUAGUAAUAAUAAUACUGAAUACCUUAUAUGUGACGCGAGUGGACGUGUGUCAACGAUUCCACAGCUUACCUACAACUUAUGGCCCGCGUAUAUCUGUGGGACGUAUGAACCAUACGCUGGCAUAGGUCGAAAACUUUAUGCAUGCAUGCACAAAAGUUUUCGACGACCUCGCCAUUCUAAUAAGUAUACCAGCGUACUUCAUUGUUCUCUUAACUUCUAGAGCAUGCGAUGCUCAAAUCCUGAAACACUGAAAGACGCUCUCUCAACAGUACAGCGCGAAGAAGAUAUUUUAAAAGCUGAAGCUAGUACGACAUGCACGCCAACAAUUGCUUCGCUACAUAAGUAAACUGGAAGUUUACAGGAGCCACAUUCAGCGGCGCCAGUUACUGCUGAUGGAAAUAGUAGUGGACUUGAACAGACAGUAUAAGAAAAAAAAAACAUCAAAAUUAUUCAAGGUCUGUUAGAAACUCUUCAAUGUAAAAAUCGGAAAUGUUUCAAAUGGAGAAACCAGGUCACAUUCGUAGGUUUCGCUAUAACAAAGGGCAUCCAAAACCAAACGUCUUACUAGAUUGGAACCUUGCUGAAAAACGAACAAUGAGUCGUUAAUCUAGAUGAGGUUUGUCGUGGAGUCGAUGGUUCAACCGCCCAUUGUGAAAAAGGGUGAAUCCGCAACCAGUUUGUAUGUAAUACAAAUGCCUAUCGAUACUGGCUUAUCGUACUUGGUCCUUCAUCCACGAAUUUUUCAACUAUUCCGAACAACAAAGAACAGAAACAAAUUAAACCAUGUAAUUUGUCAAUGGUUACGGCUUAUGGAACGUUGAUUAAAAUACAUUGGUAAAUUUCAUCAUGCUUAAAAAUAGGCAGGCUAGAAACUAUGCUUCACUUUGUUGUAGCCAACAUCAGUCCAGCAGGUAUUCUUGUAAUGGAUUUCUCGGAUCGUCGAAUGUUUGAUCAUUCUAGUACAUAUUAGACCUACCUGGCAAUAGAUGGUGUAACAAUACACAUUGUCAGAGAUGACAAUUCCCCCCUAUUGUUGCACUGUUGUAGAUUGCACUGUAACCUUACAUCCCGGUCUUGUAAUUCCUGGUAAAGUAAGGACAAAAAAUACAGUUAAUACUUUAGGCCUUGUUGAACCAACUUGUAACGUAGGCCCGUUGGAGACAGAGAAAUAUUUUUUUAGUCUGUUCCUUGGUACAUACUGUGACGGGCACAAACUUUACGUUUAGUAAUAAGAACACCAACUGUUCGAUUCGGGUAAGUGAGAAAGCAGAGUUAUCCAUAUUUUGCAUGUAGCGGGAUCCCGAUUGCUGAUUGGUCCAUGGGACUAUGUACUGUAGUAUAGACAAAUACCAAUUAGCCUACUGGGGAUGAAAGUGUAUAAAAUGCGCUUAAGUUUUAGGGGGAUGAUUUAAUCCUUCUGUGAUUAAACCAAUAAUAUUACAAGUGCUCUUGAUUUGAAUGGUAUGGCUGUUAAGGGAGAAUUAUUAAAGGCAUGACCACUGUUCCUGA